rnacentral:rRNA from 1 species
UCAAAAAAGCGGAGGAAAAGAAACUAACAAGGAUUCCCCUAGUAACUGCGAGUGAAGCGGGAAAAGCUCAAAUUUAAAAUCUGGUGGUCUUUGGCCAUCCGAAUUGUAAUCUAGAGAAGUGUUAUCCGCGCUGGACCGUGUACAAGUCUCCUGGAAUGGAGCGUCAUAGAGGGUGAGAAUCCCGUCUUUGACACGGACUACCAGGGCUUUGUGAUACACUCUCAACGAGUCGAGUUGUUUGGGAAUGCAGCUCAAAAUGGGUGGUAAAUUCCAUCUAAAGCUAAAUAUUGGCGAGAGACCGAUAGCGAACAAGUACCGUGAGGGAAAGAUGAAAAGAACUUUGGAAAGAGAGUUAAACAGUACGUGAAAUUGUUGAAAGGGAAACGCUUGAAGUCAGUCGCGUCUUUCAGAAAUCAACCUUACUUUUGUAUGGUGUACUUUCUGAUAGAUGGGUCAGCAUCAGUUUUGGUUGCUGGAUAAAGGUUAGAGAAAUGUGGCAUCUUCGGGUGUGUUAUAGUCUCUAAUCAUAUACAGUGGCUGGGACUGAGGAACUCAGCACGCCGUAAGGCCGGGGCUUUUGCUCACGUUCGUGCUUAGGAUGCUGGCAAAAUGGCUUUAAUCGACCCGUCUUGAAACACGGCCAAAGGGAG